CCACACUGUAAACGAUGGAUACUAGAUGUAGGAGGUAUCAACUCCUUCUGUGUCGUAGCAAACGCAUUAAGUAUCCCACCUGGGGAGUACGGUCGCAAGGCUGAAACUCAAAGAAAUUGACGGGGACCCGCACAAGCAGCGGAGCAUGUGGUUUAAUUCGAAGCAACGCGAAGAACCUUACCAAGACUUGACAUUGGAUGACGUUACUAGAGAUAGUAAUUUCCUUCGGGACAUCUAAACAGGUGGUGCAUGGUUGU
rnacentral:rRNA from 1 species